rnacentral:rRNA from 1 species
AUGAUGGCAUCGCGCACCAUGUGGGUGAACGGCCCCAUCAUCGUGGGCGCGGGGCCGGCGGGCAUCGCGGCGGCGGCCUGCCUGCACACGCGCGGCGUCCCCUCCGUCGUCCUCGACCGCGACGACUGCCUCGCCUCGCUCUGGCAGCGCCGCACCUACGACCGCCUCCGCCUCCACCUCCCCAAGCACUUCUGCCAGCUCCCCGGGAUGCCCUUCCCCGACCACUACCCCGAGUACCCCACCAAGCACCAGUUCGUCGCCUACCUCGAGUCCUACGCCGCCGCCUUCCACGUCCGCCCCCGCUUCCGCCAGUCCGUCGUCUCCGCACGCUUCGACCACGCCGCCGGCCUCUGGCGGGUCACCGCCUCCGACGCUUCCGACGACGCUGAGGUCGUCACGGAGUACAUCGGUCGUUGGCUGGUGGUGGCCACGGGCGAGAACGCGGAGCGCGUCAUCCCGGACCUGGACGGCGCCGACUCCUUCAAGGGCCCGGUGAGCCACGUGUCCGAGUACAAGUCCGGCGAGCCGUACAAGGGGAAGCGGGUCCUGGUCGUCGGCUGCGGCAACUCCGGCAUGGAGGUGUGCCUGGACCUGUGCGACCACGGCGCGCGGCCGUCCAUGGUGGUGCGCGACGGCGUGCACGUGCUCCCGCGCGAGAUGCUCGGCGUCGCCACCUUCUCCGUCGCCGUCUUCCUGCUCCGCUUCCUGCCUCUGCGCCUCGUCGACCGCCUCCUGGUGCUCCUCGCGGGGCUCUUCCUCGGCGGCGACCUGGCCAGGCUCGGGCUGAGGAGGCCCUCCCAUGGAGGCCCGCUGGAGCUGAAGAACAGCAAGGGCCGGACGCCCGUGCUGGACAUCGGCGCGCUGGACAAGAUCCGCGCCGGGGAGAUCAAGAUCGUGCCCGGGGUGAAGCGGAUGGAGGCCGGUGGCGCGGAGCUGGUGGACGGGCGGUUCGUGGCGGCCGACGCCGUGAUCCUGGCCACCGGCUACCACAGCAACGUCCCACAGUGGCUCAAGGGAAGCGACUUCUUCAGCGGAGAGGGGUACCCCAAGGUGGACUUCCCGGAGGGGUGGAAGGGCGAGUCGGGGCUCUACUCCGUCGGCUUCACGCGCCGGGGCCUCGCCGGCCUCUCCCUCGACGCCGUCAGGGUCGCCAGCGACAUCGCAACCGAGUACCACAGCACGUCGCCGUCGCCGUCGCCGUCGAUGAUCGCACAGCAACAAGCAGAGACAUGA